GAUGAACGCUGGCGGCGUGCCUAAUACAUGCAAGUCGAGCGAACAGACGAGGAGCUUGCUCCUCUGACGUUAGCGGCGGACGGGUGAGUAACACGUGGAUAACCUACCUAUAAGACUGGGAUAACUUCGGGAAACCGGAGCUAAUACCGGAUAAUAUAUUGAACCGCAUGGUUCAAUAGUGAAAGACGGUUUUGCUGUCACUUAUAGAUGGAUCCGCGCCGCAUUAGCUAGUUGGUAAGGUAACGGCUUACCAAGGCAACGAUGCGUAGCCGACCUGAGAGGGGGGCGGGCCCACCGGGACCGGGACACCGGCCCGGCCCCCACGGGGAGGCGCAGGUGGGAAUUCUUCCCAAAGGGCCAAAGCCUGACCGAGGAAACCCCGGGUGGGUAGAGAGGGUUUUCGGUUCGAAAACCCUUUUUUUUGGGGAAAAAAAAAUGUGAAAUAAAUUUGGCCGUUUUGACGGGACCCAAAGCAGAAGCCCCCGGCUACCUACUG
rnacentral:rRNA from 1 species